rnacentral:rRNA from 1 species
CUUGCAAACAAAUAAGAGGUCCAGCCUGCCCAGUGACACUGUUCAACGGCCGCGGUAUCCUAACCGUGCGAAGGUAGCGUAAUCACUUGUUCUUUAAUUGAGGACUAGUAUGAACGGCCCCACGAGGACUACACUGUCUCCUUUUUCUAAUCAAUGAAACUGAUCUCCUCGUGAAGAAGCGAGGAUGAAUAUAUAAGACGAGAAGACCCUAUGGAGCUUCAAACAACCGGGAUACUUGCUAAUUCAUAAUAUUUUCUGAAAACUAAAUAAAUUAAAGCAUCUUACCCCCAAGUUUUAGGUUGGGGUGACCACGGAGAAAAAAUUAACCUCCAUGUUGUAAGAAGUCUACCAUCUUCUAAGCUCAGAGUCACAUCUCCAAGCAUCAACACAUUGACUCUCAUUGACCCAAUAAUUUGAUCAACGAAC